rnacentral:rRNA from 1 species
AUUGAACGCUGGCGGUAGGCCUAACACAUGCAAGUCGAACGAGUGGCGGACGGGUGAGUAAUGCCUCGGAAUCUGCUCUGUGGUGGGGGAUAACUUCUGGAAACUUUCGCUAAUACCGCAUACGAUUGGAUGAGCCGAUGUGGGAUUAGCUAGUUGGUGGGGUAAAGGCCCACCUAGGCGACGAUCCCUAGCUGGUCUGAGAGGAUGAUCAGCCAAACGGGAACUGAGACACGGUCCAGACUCCUACGGGAGGCAGCAGUGGGGAAUAUUGCACAAUGGGCGCAAGCCUGAUGCAGCCAUGCCGCGUGGAUGAAGAAGGCCUUCGGGUUGUAAAGCACUUUUAGCGGGAAGGCGGUACCCGAAGAAGAAGCACCGGCUAACUCCGUGCCAGCAGCCGCGGUAAUUC